rnacentral:rRNA from 1 species
GACGAACGCUGGCGGCGUGCUUAACACAUGCAAGUCGAACGGAAAGGCCCUGCUUUUGUGGGGUGCUCGAGUGGCGAACGGGUGAGUAACACGUGAGUAACCUGCCCUUGACUUUGGGAUAACUUCAGGAAACUGGGGCUAAUACCGGAUAGGAGCUCCUGCUGCAUGGUGGGGGUUGGAAAGUUUCGGCGGUUGGGGAUGGACUCGCGGCUUAUCAGCUUGUUGGUGGGGUAGUGGCUUACCAAGGCUUUGACGGGUAGCCGGCCUGAGAGGGUGACCGGCCACAUUGGGACUGAGAUACCGCCCAGACUCCUACGGGAGGCAGCAGUGGGGAAUAUUGCACAAUGGGCGGAAGCCUGAUGCAGCAACGCCGCGUGCGGGAUGACGGCCUUCGGGUUGUAAACCGCUUUCGCCUGUGACGAAGCGUGAGUGGCGGUAAUGGGUAAAGAAGCACCGGCUAACUACGUG